GGGCCCGCACAAGCGGUGGAGCAUGUGGUUUAAUUCGAUGAUACGCGAGGAACCUUACCAGGGCUUAAAUGUAAGUUGCAUUAGUUAGAGAUAGCUAUUUCUUCGGACCACUUACAAGGUGCUGCAUGGUUGUCGUCAGCUCGUGCCGUGAGGUGUCAGGUUAAGUCCUAUAACGAGCGCAACCCCUGUUGUUAGUUGCCAGCGAGUCAUGUCGGGAACUCUAACAAGACUGCCGGUGCAAACCAUGAGGAAGGUGGGGAUGACGUCAAAUCAUCACGGCCCUUACGUCCUGGGCUACACACGUGCUACAAUGGUCGGUACAGAGGGCCGCAAUCCCGCGAGGGGAGCCAAUCCCACAAAGCCGAUCUUAGUCCGGAUCGCAGUCUGCAACUCGACUGCGUGAAGUUGGAAUCGCUAGUAA
rnacentral:rRNA from 1 species